rnacentral:rRNA from 1 species
CCUACGGGAGGCAGCAGUGGGGAAUCUUGCGCAAUGGGCGAAAGCCUGACGCAGCCAUGCCGCGUGAAUGAUGAAGGUCUUAGGAUUGUAAAAUUCUUUCACCGGGGACGAUAAUGACGGUACCCGGAGAAGAAGCCCCGGCUAACUUCGUGCCAGCAGCCGCGGUAAUACGAAGGGGGCUAGCGUUGCUCGGAAUUACUGGGCGUAAAGGGAGCGUAGGCGGAUAGUUUAGUCAGAGGUGAAAGCCCAGGGCUCAACCUUGGAAUUGCCUUUGAUACUGGCUAUCUUGAGUGUGGGAGAGGUAUGUGGAACUCCGAGUGUAGAGGUGAAAUUCGUAGAUAUUCGGAAGAACACCAGUGGCGAAGGCGACAUACUGGCCCAUUACUGACGCUGAGGCUCGAAAGCGUGGGGAGCAAACAGGAUUAGAUACCCUGGUAGUCCACGCUGUAAACGAUGAGUGCUAGUUGUCGGCAUGCAUGCAUGUCGGUGACGCAGCUAACGACAUAAGACACUCCGCCGUCGGGGAGGUACGGUCGGCGAAGUAAGUUAAAACUUAACGAAAGUAAAGUUAGUUACGGCGUUGAGACGUGCCGAACGGACGACGACGAGGGGAGGAGG